rnacentral:rRNA from 1 species
UACAGAGGUCUCAAGCGUUGUUCGGAUUCAUUGGGCGUAAAGGGUGCGUAGGUGGCGCGGUAAGUCGGGUGUGAAAUUUCGGAGCUUAACUCCGAAACUGCAUUCGAUACUGCCGUGCUUGAGGACUGGAGAGGAGACUGGAAUUCAUGGUGUAGCAGUGAAAUGCGUAGAGAUCAUGAGGAAGACCAGUGGCGAAGGCGGGUCUCUGGACAGUUCCUGACACUGAGACACGAAGGCUAGGGGAGCAAACAGG